ACCUGGUUGAUCCUGCCAGUAGUCAUAUGCUUGUCUCAAAGAUUAAGCCAUGCAUGUCUAAGUAUAAGCACUUGUACUGUGAAACUGCGAAUGGCUCAUUAAAUCAGUUAUCGUUUAUUUGAUUUACUUUACUACAUGGAUAUCGGUGGUAAUUCUAGAGCUAAUACAUGGAAAAAUUCCGACUUUUGGAGGAUGUAUAUAUUAGAUACAAAACCAAUGGGGGCAACCGGUUUUUGGUGAUUCAUGAUAACUUUCGAAUCGCAUGGCCUUGCGGUGGCGAUGAAUCAUUCAAAUUUCUGCCCUAUCAACUUUCGAUGGUAAGGUAGUGGCUUACCAUGGUCGUAACGGGUGACGGAGAAUUAGGGUUCGAUUCCGGAGAGGGAGCCUGAGAAACGGCUACCACAUCUAAGGAAGGCAGCAGGGGCGAAAAUUACCCAAUUUCAACUCGGGGAGGUAGUGACAAGAAAUAACAAUACGGGCUUAUAGUCUCGCAAUUGGAAUGAGUACAUUUAAAUCCUUUAACGAGGAUCAAUUGGAGGGCAAGUCUGGUGCCAGCAGCCGCGGUAAUUCCAGCUCCAAUAGCGUAUAUUAAAGUUGUUGCAGUUAAAAAGCUCGUAGUUGGAUUUCGGAAUGGAAUGACUGGUCCGCCCUUGGUGUGUUACCGGUUAAUCUGUUCUUCCGUCUAAGGAGUAUUUGUGCUCUUAAUUGAGUGGGCACAGGACUUACGCCGUUUACUUUGAAAAAAUUAGAGUGUUCAAAGCAGGCUUAUGGCUUGAAUACAUGAGCAUGGAAUAAACGAAAAGGACUUUUGUCUUAUUUUGUUGGUUUCUAAGACUAAAGUAAUGAUUAAGAGGGACAGGUUGGGGGCAUUCGUAUUUCCUGUCAGAGGUGAAAUUCUUGGAUUGUGAAAGACGAACAACUGCGAAAGCUUUGCAAGAUGUCCUCAUUAAUCAGACGAAGUUAGAGGAUCGAAGACGAUCAGAUACCGUCGCUAGUUCUAACCAUAAA
rnacentral:rRNA from 1 species